ACAUGCAAGUCGAACGCGCAGCGAAAGGUGCUUGCACCUUUCAAGCGAGUGGCGAACGGGUGAGUAACACGUGGAUAACCUGCCUCAAGGCUGGGGAUAACAUUUGGAAACAGAUGCUAAUACCGAAUAAAACUUAGUAUCGCAUGAUACAAAGUUGAAAGGCGCUACGGCGUCACCUAGAGAUGGGUCCGCGGUGCAUUAGUUAGUUGGUGGGGUAAAGGCCUACCAAGACAAUGAUGCAUAGCCGAGUUGAGAGACUGAUCGGCCACAUUGGGACUGAGACACGGCCCAAACUCCUACGGGAGGCUGCAGUAGGGAAUCUUCCACAAUGGGCGAAAGCCUGAUGGAGCAACGCCGCGUGUGUGAUGAAGGCUUUAGGGUCGUAAAGCACUGUUGUAUGGGAAGAAAUGCUAGAAUAGGGAAUGAUUCUAGUUCGACGGUACCAUACCAGAAAGGGACGGCUAAAUACGUGCCAGCAGCCGCGGUAAUACGUAUGUCCCGAGCGUUAUCCGGAUUUAUUGGGCGUAAAGCGAGCGCAGACGGUUGAUUAAGUCUGAUGUGAAAGCCCGGAGCUCAACUCCGGAAUGGCAUUGGAAACUGGUUAACUUGAGUGUUGUAGAGGUAAGUGGAACUCCAUGUGUAGCGGUGGAAUGCGUAGAUAUAUGGAAGAACACCAGUGGCGAAGGCGGCUUACUGGACAACAACUGACGUUGAGGCUCGAAAGUGU
rnacentral:rRNA from 1 species